AGAAUUUUAGUAUCAAUUAGUUAGCAGCUCAACCUGAACACACGAUCCCGCGCUCCAUUGCUUUGAAUGAACGCGUGCAGUGAGUGAGUGACUGGACGCGCGUGUGCGUUUGAAUGAAGGACACAAUAUCCGAAAAAUUAGGUUUAAUGUUUGUUUAUAGUUUUUCCUAAAAUAAACAGGAGUUGGUGCUAUUUUCGUGUUUGCUGGCUAAUGCUGUACAAUCCCGAAUGGUUUCUCUAUAGCUCUCUCAUAUACGCUACACUAGGAUUCUAGGCAAAAACUAAGCGCGCAUCACCACCAAGCAUCUCCACCCAUCGCCAUGCGAGUCAGUCGAGUUUAAGUUUGCGCCAAGUCUUCCGCAAAUACAAGAUCCUUCCGAGCGAAACCAUUCAAUUCAAUAAAUUUUAAGUUAAAAUAAAAAAAAAAUACAUUCAUCAAAACCACCCAUAUAAAACGGCGAUUGUAGUGCCGUAUACUCUUCCUACUACUAAAACAAAAAUCCACCACCAAAUAAAAAAAUACCAAUACCACCACCAAAACCAUCGAAACCCAAACAAAACCAUGGCCGAAGAUCUAGCGGACCAAAUUGAUGAUUAUAUCUGUGUAUUUGAAGGAGCCGGUGAUCUAACGAUGGACACAUUCGUCAUGUUACUGUUCGCGUUGAUCGUAGUAGUGAUAGCGCUAGUUUUCCUCUCGAAGCUACUGUACGAAAAGUAUGUAAAGAAGGGCGGCUCCGUAACGGCGGAGGGAGGAGCCUCGACGACGAUAUCUUCGACCUCGGCCGGACUCGUGGCCGGCAGUUCGGCGCUGCUGCCGAGCAAGGAUGGCGCAGCCGUCGGUUUGCGACUGUCCGAGCCGAAGGAGGUGCUGGCAACGAAAAAGGAAGCUCUCCUUGCCCAAGCAAGGAAUGGUGGUGGCGCUCUGGGUGGUGGUGCCCGAGUUGGUGGUGGCCUGGGCGGCGGUGCUGCAUUUGGUCCCAAAGCCGGUGGUAUCGGCGGUGGAGGUGGUGGCGGAGCCGUUCUCCGGAAACGAAUCUCCCGCAAGAGUCCCGGUCCCGAGCUGACCCAGAAGAAGCGAACGAUCGUCCCUCCGUCCAACAUCAAUGGAUCGGAUAUUCAAUCGGUACAAUGGGCCAUUCACAUGUUUCGGUGGCUCUACUCUGAUUUGGUCGUUGUGAACAAGCUGCUGCAGGACUGGGUUGGCACCGUCAACACGGCACUGCUAUCCUACGUGGAACAGCAUGAGAUGAUCGUCGAAGUGGUGCGGAUACUGCCAGAGAGUCUACCCCCAAACAUGCCGAGCAUCCUGUGCGAGCCGGCCGAGCAGCCGAACGAGGUGGAGCUCAUGUUCGACCUGGAGGCCACCCCAGUCCUGCAGAUCAAGGCGUUCAAAUCGACCAACCAGAAGACGGACGUCUCCCACUACAAGGCGACCGUGUCCCGGUUGAAGACCCGCAUGAGCCUGAUUAUCAACUUUUUCGCGCUCAAGGGUGAAAUGAAGGUGGAAGGCUUCCCGGAUAUCAAGAUCCACCUGAACAGCAUUGGCCCGCUCAAGACGGCCAACGCCCAGGACGAGAAGAAGCAGGGCGAUCUGAUCGUCGAGCUGCUCUCCGCCUCGAUCCGGGACGUCGUCUAUCCGAUCGACUUCUCCAUCUACUCGACCUGUCCGCGCCUGAUGGGCGAGGAGCCGGAGGAUGUGAUGCCGCUGGAUUACUCCGCGUACGGGCAAUACGAUACCUACCGUUCGUACCAGGACGAUUCGUUCGGCACUAGCGUGUCUGCUUCGCCAAGGAAGCUUCUAGUCAAGAUCAUCAAAGCUGAGGGACUUUUACAGUGUUCGCAACCGUUCUGCGUCGCCGAAAUGGACGAACCUGCUCAGAAGCACCAAUCUGCGUGCAAAAUGGGACCAAAUCCGUUCUGGGACGAUACUUUCCUCUUUAAUGACCCGCCGCCGCAACAGCAGUGUGUUGACGUUGAACCUUCUUCUAACCCUGACAAACAACCCACUAACGACAGCAGUAGUGUGCCCGAUCAGGUCCGAGACGACGAACCCUCCCAAGUCGGGGGUGACGACGAUCAGCCGGAGAAAGCGCCCGCUGAAUCCGAUGAGGUUGAUUCAGCCGCGCCCGUUGCAAAAACUAAAAACAAGUGUGGUUUCCAGAAGUUCUUGGGACUGGGUCUGGUCGGUAUCGAUGAGCUGUCGAACGGUCCGGCUUCGACCCAAGUCCUCGAGCUGCAGCCCAGGCCAUACGAGACGGAAAACAUCAGCGGUACAUUGACGGUUGAGUUUGUGUUCAUCGACGCUCCUCCUGCACCGGCUCCUCGACGACAGCACAUGCAGCAAUCCUUCCGAGCCGGUGAGGACGCGUUAAGCACAAGCACUCCGAAAUCCACCCUGGCAGGACACCCGACCGCCCAAGGAAUUGGCGCCAGCGGAAAGCAACUCCAGAUCGCAUCGGCACCGACUUCCCCAGCCAAGAGUGGCCUCUCCAGCAGCGUUAGCUUUGCCGAUCGCAACCAGCGCUUCCAAGCGGCCAACACGAACCGGCUGAACAACUCCUUCCUGAAGCCCCCGUCGGUGUCCGACUACGGCUUGAAUGGCACCCGGCAGCAGUCCGAAUCGACGCCCGUUUCCCCGGCGCUCUCGUCCGCUUCGCAGCAAAGCUACACCGGCCAACUUAGCGCCAGCGCCCCGGAAAGCGUCAGCAAGCUGGAGAAGAAACCGCGCAACAUCUUCGGCACGCUGCGCAACAAGCUGACCCUCUCGAAGAAGUCCAAAUCGAUGGACUGCCCCGAGUACGGUGGACCGACCUACCCGGGCCAGAUUCACAGCGCGUCGUCCACGCUGAGUCGUGGCUCGUCGAUGGACCAGCGUUCCAACAUCUUCCCCAACAUAAAGAAUCUCUCGCGGAAAUCUUCCAUUUCGGAAUCGUCGGCCGUUUCGGGCAUUUCGAACGCCAGCGGCCGCACCUACGUCCACGAAGAGUCUACGCUGCUGCUGGAGACGACGGAGAACAACGUGGUGCGACACUACCUGGUCCCGAUCGAGGUCGCCGUGAGGCAAAAGUCGUGGAAGCGCAAGGGCACCAAGCUUCACGUGUACAACGAUCACACCUUCAUUGCGAAACACAUCAGGGGCGGCAUCCUGUGCCACGUGUGCCACCGUAGCAUCCUGCGUCGCCCCGGCAAGCAGGGUUACGAGUGCCGUGACUGCCUCAUCCAGUGCCACAAACCGUGCCACGUGCGAGCACCACAAGCCUGCCCGAAUCCGAAGAUCCUGUCGAUGCAACUCGCAUCAUUACCCGUUCUUAACGAGUAAAUCAAUCCACCCCCGCAAGCUAGCAAUCAAAGCCAUAUUGAAGCCCCCGAGUUUUGAGUUUAAGUUUUUAAGCGCUUCCAUUGAAGAAAACCAAACAAAAUAUACACAAUUCUCAAGUUAAAAUGGCCGUUCCCCUUGAACUGAUAGAUCGGACAGCUUGAGACAGUCGCGUACGAGAGCGAGCAUUUAGGAACCAGGGGGUGAAUCACACCAGGAAACCAAAAAAAAAGAAACAAUCGAACAAAUCAGAAACGUCGUUACCAUACGCCAAGGUAAAUUACUCGAAUUAUUAUCGCAGAAUGCCAACCUUAAGUCAGCCAGCCAGAAUUGUGAGGGGUGGGGUCAAAUCCGAAUUUCUACAAAACGGUCAUGGUUACAGCCUGUAAGUUUACAAAAAAAAACUCGCUUAAAGUCACUAAAACUUAUGACCAAAUUUUUGCCACACAAUUGUGUCGUCCAUGUCCAUGCCUUUCGAAAAUCUAUUGUGUUACAAGUGCGUUCUGUAAGUAUGAGCUUAAUAAGUCGUAUUACUGAUGAUACAAAAAAAGAGGAGCGCAUCAAACAAAUCUCCACUUUCUACAAAAUAGGUUGUGAGACAAAACCUAGCACAAACACACACACAUGUUACAUACACCACUGUUAAAGUCUUUUUAAAUAUUAAAAAAAUAUAUAUUAUACGAAUACAAAGCUUUAUCUGUGUCGCGCCGUUUCUUCUACACUAAUUGAAUCUUUUAACUAUUUAUUGAAAAA